rnacentral:lncRNA from 1 species
AGUGAAUGCAGUUGGAAGGAAAGGGACAGGCAAAACCAGAUUCACAGCUCCCUGCCUUUUUCUUCAAGCGGCUCCAUGAGUCAACUUGGAUGUGGUCUUCUCUCCUUGACGCACAUCCUCCGAUCUGACCAGUUGUCCAAGUGAUGCUCCAGUGCUUUUCAAUUUUGACUGUGCGGCAGAAUCACCGAUGGAUUUUAUUUUAUUUUUAAAAUAGGGGCCAGGGCAGAAGUCAGAAUGGCUGCUUGGUCCACGGAAGCCUGAAGCCUGGUGCCUAAAGUGAAUAUGGUCUUGGCAAGAUCAGAACUGCUGAGAGCCAAGGUUUCCUUAUUGACUAAAUUAAAUCACAAUCCUCCCCCGGCUAACCUAGAACUCUGGGAAUCAA